CUGAGAUAUAUGUUUGUGUGCAUGUAUAUGUGUGUAUGUGUAUAUAAAUGAAUAUGGGAAACACCCUAAAAUAUAUCACUAAGAGAGUAAAGU
rnacentral:miRNA from 1 species